rnacentral:rRNA from 1 species
GAUGAACGCUGGCGGCGUGCCUAAUACAUGCAAGUCGAGCGAACAGACGAGGAGCUUGCUCCUCUGACGUUAGCGGCGGACGGGUGAGUAACACGUGGAUAACCUACCUAUAAGACUGGGAUAACUUCGGGAAACCGGAUCUAAUACCGGAUAAUAUAUUGAACCGCAUGGUUCAAUAGUGAAGGACGGUUUUGCUGUCACUUAUAGAUGGAUCCGCGCCGCAUUAGCUAGUUGGUAAGGUAACGGCUUACCAAGGCGACGAUGCGUAGCCGACCUGAGAGGGUGAUCGGCCACACUGGAACUGAGACACGGUCCAGACUCCUACGGGAGGCAGCAGUAGGGAAUCUUCCGCAAUGGGCGAAAGCCUGACGGAGCAACGCCGCGUGAGUGAUGAAGGUCUUCGGAUCGUAAAACUCUGUUAUUAGGGAAGAACAAAUGUGUAAGUAACUAUGCACGUCUUGACGGUACCUAAUCAGAAAGCAACGGCUAACUACGUG